GCCCUGGUGGUGCAGUGGUUACAUGCUCGGCUGCUAACCGAAAGUCGCGGGUUCAAACCCACCAGCUGCU
rnacentral:tRNA from 1 species